UCAGCCUGAGGCUUGCAACCCGUAGCCUGACGUUCAUGAUGAGCAAGCAGAGUCGGUAAAGGUAUUGGGGAGUGCGUUACUGUGAAUAAGAUGGUGGAACAAACCUGUGGAUCUUAUCCCAUCCACAGUGCUUGCAUUUGGAAUUGGCACGGUGCAGGUGAAAGCUUGAUUCAUGCAGCCUUCAAAGAAGUUGUCUGCCUUAACCCAGAGAUAUGGGAGAUGUGUGCACAGCUCUAUGAAGGACAGACCCAACCCAGAUAUAUUGGAAACAAGAGCAGCCUUCUAUCAUGGCAAAGAAAGAUGCCCUGCUGGUGGUGGUAGUGGGGGGUGAAGCUGUGCAUGUGCCCCAUUGGGUCACCAAUGCACAUGUGCUGAAGGGACAGGGAGAGUGGGAGAGACUGCGGCGCAUGUGGUCAGCAGGAGGACUCCAUCCAUGCAUGCAAAGGCUGAUUUGACACGUGUGCUCCAUCGCUUACCAUGUUCUCUACUGCACCUGUGAGGUGAGGAGAGUGUACUGUGCCAGGCAAAUGAGAGCCAUUGCACAGUGUGUUCAGGUGUGUGCAGUGCUGCCCUCAUCUGACAAAAAUUAGUACUGCAGAUGAAUAACAUGCAUGUGCCCUAUGUUCCCACCCAUUAACUGCUGCACUUGCGUAUCUAAAAAACAGUACUGCUACCAAAAGGAGUACAAACACACCCAUUUUGACA